UCUUCAAUCAAACCAAGGAGAAUAAAAAAGAACCCAAACAAAGAAAAUGGGAAGAACAAAGAUGAAGAAUAAAGUAGAUCUCCUUUGCAACUUUACAGUAAAACAUUGUUGAAGGAAUAGUUGAUGAAGAAGAUCACAUUCACAUGGCUUCGUCUUCUCCAACUCCUCCGGAAUCUUCUUCUCCAACUCCGAUUCCCGUUUAUGAUGAUUCUUGGUGAAUGUUCUGGAAGAAGAGCGAGUUCCGAUUCACAUCGUUCGCUCCACUCAGCUUCCAAUUGGUCGUUCUUCUCCUUCUCUAUGCAUAAUACAGGUCUUCAUCAUUGGACCAGUGAAGCAGAUAAAGAAAGCUGAAGACAUGUUAAGGGGGGCUGAAUGGGUUAUUCUUCCUCUAAUGUGAUCACCUCUUUUUUUUUUUUAAUUAUUAAAGGUCUUCACUCUUCACAUGUGCUGGCUUCUCAGUUUGCUGGAUCAAUAAGGUAGCUUCCAUCUCACAAGAUGUUGCUUGAUUCAAUCAAAGUAUUUGUUUGGAGGAUAUCGAUGUCAAUGUUUAGGUUUGGAGCAUCGAUGUGUACCAUUUUAUUUUCACUCCAAUAUGGAUUCAAUAUAGAGGGUCAGAGCAUCCACUUUUACUGCCAUCCAGAAGAUUGUUUCAUCAAUUUUUGGUUGGUAGAGUCUUCAAGAUUGAAUUGGUACAAAACACAUCAAAAAGAUGUAAGUAGAGGACUUUAAGAUGCAAAUGCAAUACUUCGCGGAGAAACUGAUGCUGCAAAUGCAGGAAAAAGAAUAGUUUUGCCAUCGUCUUUUACAGCUGAUGCACAUUAUCUAAUUCAGAAUUAUCAUGAUGCUAUGACCAUAUGUACAUGGACCGGAUAUCCAGAUCUGUUCAUCACUUUCAGUUGCAAUAAAAAAGGCUGGAAUUACAUGUUGGCGCAACAAGGACUCAAACCAGAAGAUAGACCAGAUUUACUUUGUCGUGUUUUUAAGAUUAAACUUGACCAAUUGAUUAAAGACAUGAAGGAAGGGAAAAUAUUUGGCAAGGUCAAGGCAGUUGUAUGCACCAUAGAGUUUCAGAAGCGUGGAUUACCACAUUCCCAUAUAUGCAGCAGAAUGGCAAAUGCUCAAAAUCUUUCCUAAAAAUAUCUUGAAGCAAGAAGUCUUACAUAUGGUGAAUUUCCUUCAAUGUUUGUUUGGGAUAAACCCAAACAUGAGUGGACAAAGAGGAAGAAGGGAUAUGCAGUUGGAAGAUUACAAUUUAUUCAUCUAGGAAGUGGUCAACUAUAUUACCUGAGAAUAUUGCUUAAUCAUACUAGAGGAGCAACAUCAUUUAAAGAUUUCAGAACAGUAAAAAAUGUCGUCUAUGCAACAUUUAAAGAUGCUUGCUAUGCUUUGGGUUUGUUGCGAGAUGAAAAAGAAUUCAUUGAAGCCAUUAUAGAACAAAGCCAUUGGUGGACAGUUAUUAUUUAAGGAAGCUUUUUAUCGGUUUUUACUUCUAUAGUGCUAACUGCUAAGGACUUGGUAGUUGUUGGAUUCUGGAAAACAAAAAACUUAUCUUUAAUUAAGGGAGAAAAUCAUAUAUCUUUUCCAGAUCAUCUUACCUUUAA